rnacentral:rRNA from 1 species
GAUGAACGCUGGCGGCGUGCCUAACACAUGCAAGUCGAACGGAGUCGUUUUGGAAAUCUCUUCGGAGAUGGAAUUCUCGACUUAGUGGCGGACUGGUGAGUAACGCGUGAGCAAUCUGCCUUUAAGAGGGGGAUACAGUUGGUAACGGCUGCUAAUUCCGCCUAAAGGAUUAAAUUUGGAUGGUUUUGGUGCCUAAGGAUCAAUUCGCUUUUAGAUGAGCUCGCGUCUGGGUAGCGAGUUUGCGGGGUUACGGCCCACCAAGGCGACGGUAAGUAGCCGGACUGAGAGGUUGAACGGCCACAUUGGGACUGAGACGCGGCACAGACUCCUACGGGAGGCAGCAGUGGAGAAUAUUGCGCAAUGGGGGAAACCCUGACGCAGCAACGCCGCGUGAUUGAAGAAGGCCUUCGGGUUGUAAAGAUCUUUAAUCAGGGACGAAACAAAUGACGGUACCUGAAGAAUAAGCUCCGGCUAACUACGUG